rnacentral:lncRNA from 1 species
CCCCCAGGCCGGUAGCCACGCUGGUAGCCACGGCGGUAGCCACGUGCCGUCUGCAGGUUCACGCUGAACGUGUGGGACGUGGGCGGGCAGAGCUCGCUGCGCUCCUACUGGCGGAAUUACUUCGAGAGCACCGACGGCCUGGUGUGGGUGGUGGACAGCGGCGAACGGCGGGGGCCGCACGGCGGUAGCCACGUGCCGUCCGCAGGUUCACGCUGAACGUGUGGGACGUGGGCGGGCAGAGCUCCCUGCGCUCCUACUGGCGGAAUUACUUCGAGAGCACCGACGGCCUGGUGUGGGUGGUGGACAGCGGCGACCGGCAGCGUCUGCAGCUCUGCGCCUCCGAGCUCACAGCUCUGCUCAGGGAGGAGCGCCUGGCCGGCGCCACCCUGCUGGUGUUGGCCAACAAACAGGACCUGCCUGGAGCGCUGCCGCCCAGCGCCAUCCGCGAGGUGGGAACCGCCCCAUAGCGCCCCAUAGCGCCCCAUAGCGACCCAUAGCGCCCCAUAGCGACCCAUAGAGACCCAUAGCGCCCCAUAGCACCCCAUAGCGACCCAUAGACACCAAUAGGGACCCAUAGCGACCCAUAGAGACCCAUAGGGACCCAUAGGGCCUGUAGCGACCCAUAGGGAGCCAUAGCGACCCAUAGAGGCACAUAGACACCAAUAGGGACCCAUAGAGACCCAUAGACACCAAUAGGGACCUAUAGGAAUCCAUAGAGACCCACAGCGACCCAUAGAAACCCAUAGAGACCCAUAGAGACCCAUAGGAACCCAUAGAGACCUACAGACAGAUCGAUAGGGACCCAUAGGGACCCACAGAGACCCAUAGGGACCCAUAGGGACCCAUAGUGACCCAUAGACACCAAUAGGGACCCAUAGCGACCCAUAGAGACCCGUAGACAUCAAUAGGAAGCCAUAGAGACCCAUAGGGACCCAUAGGGCCCAUAGUGACCCAAAGGGACCCAUAGCGACCCAUAGAGAUCUACAGCAACCCAUAGGGACCCAUAGGGACCCAUAGGGCCCAUAGCGACCCAUAGGGACCCGUAGUGACCCAUAGCGACCCAUAGGGACCCCCAGAAACCUACAGAGACCCAUAGGGAUGCAUAGAAACCCAUAGAGACCCAUAAGAACCCAUAGAGACCUACAGACAGACCCAUACGGACCCAUAGGGACCCAUAGACAUCCACAGAGACCCAUAGAGACCCACAGGGACCCAUAGAGACCCAUAGGGACCCAUAGGGACCCAUAGGGACACAUGGGGACCCAUAGAGACCUACAAAGACCCAUAGUGCUGCCCCAUAGAGACCUAUAGGUACCCAUAAGGAUCCAUAGAGACCCAUAGAGACCCACAGAAAGAGACCCGUGGUGCCCCAUAGGGACCCAUAGGGACACAUAGGGACCCCCAGAAACCCCCAGAGACCCAUAGAGACCCAUAACGACCCAUAGAGACCCCAUAGUGACCCAUAGGGCCCAUAGCAACCCAGAGGG